rnacentral:rRNA from 1 species
UAGAUGCGAGAGUAGAGCAUAUCAAUAAGCGGAGGAAAAGAAACUAACAAGGAUUCCCUUAGUAACGGCGAGUGAAGCGGGAAGAGCUCAAAUCUGAAAUCUUCAAGGUUCUACCUUGACGAAUUGUAGUUUAUAGAAGUGUUUUCUGUUAGUGGAGUGGCAAAAGUUCUUUGGAAUAGGACAUCAUAGAGGGUGAGAAUCCCGUAUUUGGUCAUUCCUCCUAGCGUUGUGAUACAGCUUUCAACGAGUCGGAUUGUUUGGGAAUGCAGUCCAAAAUGGGUGGUAAAUUUCAUCUAAAGCUAAAUAUUGGCGAGAGACCGAUAGCGAACAAGUACCGUGAGGGAAAGAUGAAAAGAACUUUGAAAAGAGAGUUAAACAGUACGUGAAAUUGUCAAAAGGGAAGCGUUUGACACCAGUGUUGUUUUCUCGAAAAUCAAUUAAAAAUGGCUUGAUUUUGUGUUGUAUUGACCUUAAAAGCUUUCUGCACUUUUUUCAUGUCUUUUUUAAUGCACUUUUCGUUUAACAAGUCAACAUCAGUUUCUUUUGUUGUAAAAAGGUCAUUGGAAGGUGGCUUUCUUUUCGGAGAAAGUGUUUAUAGCCUUUGACUCCUGCAAUCGGAGAGACUGAGGUCUGCAGCGUAGAUCCUUCUUUGGAUUAGAUUCAUUUGUGCUAAGUUAUAGCUUUUUAUAGACAACUUGUUGACUAUAUUUAGUCUUGUAGCUUACUCGCUUAUGCAAUCUUACCUACGCUUAGGAUGUUGACGAGACUGUCGAUCUC